GCCAUAUUUUGAGAUUCUCCUAUGUACCUGAAUCUUCAGAGAGCACAGGAGAUGGACAAACUCUGUGGGUGCCAUCAAGGUGUGUGUGACCAAGGAAUGGGAGACUGGAGGAAACCA
rnacentral:lncRNA from 1 species